UACGUAGGGUCCGAGCGUUGUCCGGAAUUAUUGGGCGUAAAGGGCUCGUAGGCGGUUUGUCGCGUCGGGAGUGAAAACCAGAGGCUUAACUUCUAGCUUGCUUUCGAUACGGGCAGACUUGAGGCAUGCAGGGGAGAACGGAAUUCCUGGUGUAGCGGUGAAAUGCGCAGAUAUCAGGAGGAACACCGGUGGCGAAGGCGGUUCUCUGGGCAUGUUCUGACGCUGAGGAGCGAAAGUGUGGGGAGCGAACAGG
rnacentral:rRNA from 1 species